AUUGACGGACUGAAGGCUCUUUCUCGAUUCCGUGGAAAGUGGUGCAUGGCCGUUUUGGUUGGUGGAUCGAUCCGUCUGGUUAAUUCCGUUAACGAACGAGACCUCGGCACUCCGAAUAGCGCGGCGGACGUCGCGGCCUCCGGGCCGUCUUCCGCACGAGCUUCUUAGAGGGACCGUCCCCCGCCGGGGAAGGAGGUGCGAGGCAACGACAGGUCUGUGAUGCCCUUAGAUGUUCUGGGCCGCACGCGCAUUACACUGACGCGUCCAACGGGUGACUCCCGACCCGAAGGGGCCGGGGAAUCCGCAAGGCGCGUCGUGAUGGGGAUUGAACGUUGCAAUUGUUGUUCACGAACGAGGAAUUCCUAGUAGGCGCGGGUCAUCAACCCGCGCCGAUUACGUCCCUGCCC
rnacentral:rRNA from 1 species